AUAACAGGUUAAUUAGGUUAAAUCUUAAUUGUGAAAUACAGUUGUUUUGAAUUGGCUGCAGAAAGUGGUCUAUAUUUGUGGUGGUGAGUGGGGGAGAUGGGCGGUAG